rfam:Schistosoma haematobium scaffold430_39, whole genome shotgun sequence.
AGCCUUAUUAAUCCUUGACGAGAUUUCGUCAGACACCGAACCGUAAGUACUGACGAGACCCUCAAGAUAAGUGGAGUG